rnacentral:rRNA from 1 species
UGCUGGCCUUUGGGUAUGUGCACAUCCUCCUCCGAUUUCUAUUCAUCCACCUGUGCACUUUUUGUAGGAGUUCUUUCAUCGGGUUUUUGAAGGUGCUCAUUAUGAGUUACUUGAAAAGACUAGUUGACAAGGCUUCUAUGUUCUUAUAAACCAUUGAAGUAUGUUAUAGAAUGAUCUUGUUAUUGGGACUUUAUUGACCCUUUAAACUUAAUACAACUUUCAGCAACGGAUCUCUUGGCUCUCCCAUCGAUGAAGAACGCAGCGAAAUGCGAUAAGUAAUGUGAAUUGCAGAAUUCAGUGAAUCAUCGAAUCUUUGAACGCACCUUGCGCCCUCUGGUAUUCCGGAGGGCAUGCCUGUUUGAGUGUCAUUAAAUUCUCAACUUUAUAAGUUUUUUACUUAUUAAAGCUUGGAUGUUGGAGGCUUGCAGGCGUUUGUCAGCUCCUCUUAAAUUUAUUAGUGGGAACCCUGUUUUGUUAGUUCUAACCUUGGUGUGAUAAUUAUCUACAUUUUGGUGGAACCUUACAAUAAUAAAGCUCUAUUGGUUUGGGUUGUUGCAUUUAGUUUGCUCAAUCUGUUCUAUUCAUUGGAGAAAAAGGGAAGUUCCGCUUUCUAACUGUCUUGAUUGACUAUAUAUAAC